CUCAGAGCUGCGGAAACUACAACUCCCACAAGGCUGCGCGUACCGCGGCUCCCAAGAAGUGGCUUGUACCCGCCCCCCUCGCCUGCGGGCCUCGCCCCUCCGGCCCAGCCAGCCGUUUUCCAGGCGUGGAUGGCCCACGGACGUGCCUGGUCCGGUAGUGGAGUGGUAGUGAAUCUGUCGGGCCAUGGAGUUUGCCAGGCAGGAGGAUCGCGAGCGCAGGAGUAGAAUUGGGUGGUGGAGGGGAGUAGUUUGAGUCUAGUUUUGAAUGUAGAAGACUUCCUUCCAGUCCUGGAAGCCUGGUUGCUGCAGCGAGGAGCUGAGACACCUGCCGAGUGAUUGCCAUUUGCGAAACACAGCACUAGAAUACUUCUUGUGGAAAAAGCCAGGCCUUGCCUGUGGGUGUCCCAGUGAUUAAGAACCUAAGAGGCGCCAUGGCUCACGCCUGUAAUCCCAGCACUUUGGGAGGCCGAGGCGGGCAGAUCAUGAGGUCAGGAGAUCGAGACCAUCCUGGCUAACACGGUGAAACCACGUCUCUACUAAAAAUACAAAAAAAAAAAAAAAAAAAAAAAAAAAAAAUUAGCCAGGCGUGGUGGCGGGCACCUGUAGUCCCAGCUACUCGGGAGGCUGAGGCAGGAGAACGGCGUGAACCCGGGAGGCGGAGCUUGCAGUGAGCCGAGAUCGCGCCACACGACUCCAGCUUGGGCAACAGCGCAAGACUCCGUCUCAAAAAAAAAAAAAAAAAAAAAAAACACCUAGGAACACAGAACAAUGCCAGCCUUACCACCUGCUAGUCUGGUUUCUGUUGAUAUACAGGUAUCCCAAGCCUGUGUUUCCAGAUCUUUGCAACAGGACACAAUCUGGGACCCACUAUGUGUCUAUCUCCAAAGAUCAAACUGGGCCAGAUGUAAAGACAACAUACUUACAGAGCAUGGCUCCUGGCCUGAGAACAAAUUCUGUUCACCAAGCUGGAAGGUUCUGAGUGCUCCCUGAUGCAGGGAGGAGGGUCAUUUUGGAACACUACAUAUUGUCACAAUUUUCUCCCUAGCCCAGCCAAGGGACUCACUUUUCAGAGUCUUAUUGUGUGUGCUGAUGUGAUUAAAAAUCGAAUACUGUU